ACGAACGCUGGCGGCGUGCCUAACACAUGCAAGUCGAGCGGGAAUUGUUUCGGAUCAAUUUCUAGCGGCGGACGGGUGAGUAACGCGUGAGCAACCUUUCUCUCAGUGGGGAAUAACACAGGGAAACUUGUACUAAUACCGCAUGAGACCACAAUGUCGCAUGGCAUAGGGGGUCAAAGAUUUAUUGCUGAGAGGUGGGCUCGCGUCUGAUUAGGUAGUUGGUGAGGUAACGGCCCACCAAGUCGACGAUCAGUAGCCGGACUGAGAGGUUGAACGGCCACAUUGGGACUGAGAUACGGCCCAGACUCCUACGGGAGGCAGCAGUCGGGAAUAUUGCGCAAUGGAGGAAACUCUGACGCAGUGACGCCGCGUAUAGGAAGAAGGUUUUCGGAUUGUAAACUAUUGUCGUUAGGGAAGAUACAAGACAGUACCUAAGGAGGAAGCCCCGGCUAACUAUGUG
rnacentral:rRNA from 1 species